UACGUAGGUGGCAAGCGUUGUCCGGAUUUACUGGGCGUAAAGAGCGCGCAGGCGGUCGUUCAAGUCGCGUGUGAAAGCCCCCCGGCUCAACUGGGGAGGGUCACGCGAUACUGAUCGACUCGAAGGCAGGAGAGGGAAGUGGAAUUCCCGGUGUAGUGGUGAAAUGCGUAGAUAUCGGGAGGAACACCAGUGGCGAAGGCGGCAUCCUGGACCGAGAUUGACGCUGAGGCGCGAAAGCUAGGGUAGCAAACGGG
rnacentral:rRNA from 1 species